rnacentral:snoRNA from 1 species
AGGCAGUGAUGUCAUAAUUAUUGCCAUCAAACUUUGAAAGCCUUAUUAACGGGGGCUUGUUGAUGCAAAUAAAACAUAAUUCCUGAGCCU